rnacentral:rRNA from 1 species
UACGGAGGGGGCUAGCGUUGUUCGGAAUUACUGGGCGUAAAGCGCACGUAGGCGGCGAUUUAAGUCAGAGGUGAAAGCCCGGGGCUCAACCCCGGAACUGCCUUUGAGACUGGAUUGCUAGAAUCUUGGAGAGGCGAGUGGAAUUCCGAGUGUAGAGGUGAAAUUCGUAGAUAUUCGGAAGAACACCAGUGGCGAAGGCGGCUCGCUGGACGAAGUAUUGACGCUGAGGUGACGAAAGGCGUGGGGAGCAAACAGG